AUACAUGAUGGUGCUGGCUAGUGGUCAGCAGGGCACGGACGCUGAAGUGUCUGUUUUGGUUAGUGGGUUGAAGGUGGAGGAAGUACGAGGAUGUGGAGGAAACUGAUAAUGGGAAGACCAAUUGAGUUGACUGUGUGAAUGUAAGUGAAGAAAAUCAUGUCAAGCCCAUCCUACAUCAUUUCUGAGAGAGACAGAGUGCUCUCAGACUGUGUUUGCUACAUUAAUCCUAUCCAAGAAUGGAUACUGAAGCAGAUGGGGAAAUGAAUUUUGAGACUGCAGCCUACAACAGCUGGGCGAGCAUGCCUGUCAGCUCCUGAAACAGAAGGCAGCAGCGUAACCUUGGUGUCCCUUAGAGCUUCAAGCCAUGGGGGCAAUUACUGAAUGGAUGUGGCAUCUGGGAGAACAGUAUUACAUCCUUAAGCCUUCACGUUACUGGUCCCAUUGGUCAUAGUUCAACUAUGUGAGUGCUUGUCCAGUUCUGGAAUCCCUGGAACCACAUGUUGAAGUUCAAGCAGGGUUGAUGCAUCCCUUCGUUUUCCUGAAGAAGUAGACUAAAUGAGUAUCAUUCAGUAUCUUACUGCAUGGGUCAUUCACCUUAAAAACAGAGGUCAUGUUUGCUCUGCAGAGACACUAAAGUUCCCAUGGAACUAUUCGAGCUGUGAUGCAGUACAGCAAUCCUGAACACACUCUGGGAUUUGGCCAGGUUUGCCCUCUAUGUGGCUGCUGCUUGCCACUGAAUGCACUACUCCAGCUAUGCUACUAUUUUUAGCACACUAGCCUGUCUGUUCAAGUUGGGAAUCACACCUCUAGCUCCAGGUGUAGACAUAGCCUUACAUGGUUUCCUUUUAAAAGCUCUCUGCACCUUUUUCUGGGUCUGUAUUUUUAAUAAUAUUAACAGAAAUACUUGCAGAUUUGAAAAUCAUCAUACCCAUUUGAGUAGUAACACAGUAAUAGAUACACCAUUAUGUAGUCUGAUGUGCAUUAUUUUAAAUUACGUUGCUUGUGGCUAUUCUGAAUUCAAACACAUGUUGAGUAGACUGAGGAAUGGGAAAUUCAUAAGAGUCUUUACCAAUGCUGUAAAUGCUGGCAUAUGCUGAAUGGAGUAUAAGUUCACAUCAUUUAAAGACAAAGAUAAUUUUAUUGCUCAAGAAUUCCUGUCCCUCCUUGCCCCCCCCUUUUUUUUCUCCUCUGUUUUCCUGGUUAUAGUCAAUAUUUCAGGGCUAAUGGAUAAGGAUGCCUGCUGUUUCUGCCAAAAAUGCUGACCUCUGCAAUCAAUACAUUUUAGCUUAGGGCAUUUGUGAUGUCAAUUACUAUGACAAUACUUUAGCAUUUACUGCCUGCAAAAUGUCUGGAUUUAUUGGGUUAGAACUUCCUCUCCAUCUUAUCCUUCCAUCUCCCCCACCCAUUAUCCUGGAGACUGCUGGAGACUAAGGCCUCAAGGGCACAACUGUAUUAAAUAGUUAUUUUAGUGCUAGUUGCCUCCAACUUUAACACAAUAUAUUUCCCAUUUCAACCCAUUUUUUAUCUUAACUGUUUACUAUAGAGUUAUUUUCUUAUACUUGCCAGAGUGCUAAAAAGUUGAGUGUGUCAUUAUUUUCAGUACUGCGUAUACUACAUACACUAGGGACAGCUCUGCUGCUCCACCUCUGCAUCAGGUUGCAUGGGUGUAACAGGCCUCAGAAUCAAUUUAGUAUUGACCCCAGUGACCGUGCAGGUUCCAGAUAGACGUAAUGGCCUACCCUCGUAGAACCAGGUCUACGAUGAUUUUGACCAACUCUUGGUAUAAAAAUAAUACCUGAUAUAGCAUUCUAAAUUGCAGGCUUUUUAUAUCAAAGCAUGAAGUCUUAAACUGUGGCAAUAUAAUAUAUGAUUAGGGAGGAUUAUGUCUGUCUUGGAGUGCUAAAACUUGGUUAUUUUCCCCCCAGCAAUUUGGAAAGCUUAACCAUAAGUCUUCCAUCCAGUUUAAUGCAAGUCACUGAGGUGAAACCCUACACAAAGUUUAAAAAUACUGACCAUAAAUUAUCGAGGAAAGUCAGCUACUAUGCUUCAUUUAAAUGUAUUCAUAAGUACCGAUAUUUACAAUUUUCUCAGAAUAAAGAGAGUUAGUUAUAGGCAACGGAACAAAAUAUAUUGAGUGAUAAAGCAUGUUGACGACAAGAGUGAGAAUUUUGAGGGGGUCAGGGAGGGAGUUUUCCCAGCAUUAUAACAAACAAGAUAUAUCCAAACUCAAUAUAUUCCAGGACUGUAACUAUGUCUUGAAAUUCAGUUUAACUGUAGCAACUGAUAGAUAAUGAAUACCAAAAGUACACAUAUAGUUUAAAAAUAUAUUUACACCAUGGACAUUCCAGUCUCCUCGAGAAAGGCAGCUGCCUUCAGGCAUUAUAAAGUUUCAUGAUGAUCCAAAAAACCCUUGAAGUUGUAGUGUGCUCAGCUAAGGUUUGACUGAGCACUGAAAGAGAAGCCUGGAUGCAGGAAAGAUUUAACUGAGUAUAUUUUUAGAUGACAAUAUUACUAAAACUACAAGGAAAGAAAAAUAAGAUUGAGUUGCACUUCUCUUCUUCCUCAGCACUAUAAUAUUAAUAAUCCUUUGCGCUAAUAUUACACUAUCAGACUAGAGGAUCUAGAAAUGCUUCACAAACAUCCAGUGUCUCAUUUAAAACUCUUUGAUGUGUUUCCAGUUUCUUUGGAUCACACACUUUGUAAAUUUAAUCUCUCAAAACCCAUUAGACAAGUAUUGUUAUCCCCAUAUCAUGAAUGGGGAAACUGAGGAACAGAUGAGGUGAAGUGACUUGUCCAAGGUCACAUAGGAAGUCAGUGGCAGGAUAAGAACCCAAGGCCACCUUGUCCUCAAUCCUGUGUUCUUGCCACAAGACCAGUCCUGCCCUCUAUUUCUCAGGGUGUAUUUUCAAAUUGCCCAGUGCUGUAGCCACACAUUUCUCUAAACUCAAUGAAAAUUUAUGCCAGCUUGUUUUAAAAGAGAUUGCGGUGUUUUAUGUAUGAUAGAGAAAUCAACACCCAAUGGCCAUUUAAAUAAGCAGGUCUGGUGGAUUAAAGAUACAAGCCUUCGUUACAUAUGAGCAUCUCCCACAGUUCAGCUAAAAAUGCAUUGCCAACAGGAGGAGUAAAAAUGUGAUCAUGGAUGAGCUGAUGACUUAGAUGUACGCUUUAUAGAUUCAUCCUGAGGUGUAGUUGUGCAUCUCCUAGACUUGUAUAUUUGAAAGUGUCUCUCCAGUCUAAUCUAUCUAGUGUCCAGUCACCAUGGUAAAAAUGCAAAUUCAAGGAUGUAUACAGUUCAUCCAUGGGAGUUGCUUCCUGUUCAUGAAAUCUCUCCUGAAAACCCAUCUGAAAUCCCUGAGUGAGGAUUUCAGAUCCAGGAUAUUUUUCCAUUCAGGUGUUGCCGACUAAGAUCAAGAAUUGUUUUGUAAAUGUUUUGAUGCUUUAACGCAAAUCUUCUACCCACUGGGCUCCACUGUAAAAGCUUUAGCUAGGCAGCACUCUCACUGAAGUCAAUAGGAAUUUAAGGAAUGGGCCCAAUGAAAAGCAUGGGCAUCGUUAAAUUAUUUACAUCCACUUACAACAUAGCCUUAAGACUGUUGCAGAAAGCAUCUUAUCAUGCUUGAUUGUUCUUUUUCUGAAUUCUUCUAUUUUCUUUGGAGUCUCUUUUCCCCAUUUCUUUCUCUGUUUAAUAGUUGGCCUCCAGGUUAUUUGAUCUGAUCUUCUGCUGUCACUGUAUUGAAAGUGAUUUAUACUGUGCACUGGUCAAAAGACUGGGAUUAUAUUAAGAGGUCAUAUCUGUUCUGCUAACUGAGGGCUUGAUCCUGUUGUUCCCAUUACAAUCAAUGAGACAGAUCCUCAAUAGGCAUAAAUCAGCAUAUUUCCUUUGACUUCAGUUAGCUCAGCUGAAGAUGUGGCCUUAUGGAUGAUUUGUAAAAGACUUCAGUGCACAUAUGAACAGGCCACAAAUGAGCAGAGAAACAGAGGUUAUAAUUAGUGCUUGUAAAGCCUGUUGGCCAAAAUUAAUUGGUCAAAAGAUUAAAGUUAAGGACAUGAUCGAUAACACUGUCCCAUAUUCUGUGUACUUUCACGCCUGUACCUUUAGAAAUAUUUGGGAAGGCAAGAAUCUUUACUUUAAAAAUUUUAAAAGGCAAAAACUAAUUAGUGGGCAUGCAAUGACUUAAUAGGAUACUGAGAUCUGAUUAGCACAAGCAGAUGUGAAAAUGAUCAGCUUCUAAUACUCAUAGAAAACCUGCCAGGAGACUGACUGGUUCAGAACAUUGAUAAUUGGCAUUGGAAUCUUUUAGUGCUUUAUCGCCACAGAAGUUCAAAUCCAUUUUAGGUCAGAUAGGUUUCUAAACUGAGGAUCCAAAAUUAAAAGGCCACUUCUGAAAACUUGGAGAAUAAUAACUUGAAGUUACCAUUUAUGGUUGUUCUGUAGUCUAUGUAUUUGGAAUCUCACUCUAGUUUCUAACGAAUGAGUCUCUAAAUAAAAACUUGUAACUUUAAUUCUUUAAACUUUAAUUCUGUUGUAACUUUAAUUCUUAAGUGUUUUGGGUACUGUAUGAAGGGUGCUAUACAAAAAUAAAGUUGUAACCCACAUUUGAAUCAAGUACACAGAUAAGUGUCCAUUGAUCACUACAGGCUAUACUGUGUGAAGUGCUGGAGCAAAUUUACUAGACAGUUUUCAUUGCAUCAUGAUCUGCACUAAAGUUAUUCCUCAAGGAAAAUAUUCAAGGGAAUAUUCAGGCCAUCGCUUUCAAAUAUGAAAAAGUGGGGAACUGUCGUUCACCAUUCUCCCUCUCCCCCCAGUUCACAUUCUAUAGAUCCUCAAUGGCCGGAGCCACGGAAGAACAUUCUUGUGGCAAGGGAGCAUAGUCAGUAUUUUUUAGCAUGUACUGUCUUUUGAUCUUGCUGCCCCAUGUCUCAUGCACAGGACUCCUGCACGUGUAUUAACUGUGGCCAAGUGAGAGUACAGCUUUUGUUAAUUCUGUUUUUGCAUGAUUAAUCUAGCAACACUGAGGUAUGCCUGUUUCGCCUCACAAAGUGGAAUAGGACCUGAAUUUGGCCCAUUUAUUUAUUAGCUUAAAUACAAUUUGUAAAAAUAUUAUCAAGAGUGUAUUUUUGAAAAAAAUCAGGGUUUCUUAUUCAAUAAUUGUCUUGGAGAAAAUUGUUGUGUUCUUGAUCUAGCCAAGUGACUGUAUGAUUUAGAAGUGGCUUACCUCUUGCGUUCUAACUACCAGAUGAGAGUUUCAGAUCCAUGGCUGAUCUUUAAAAGCUUUUCUUAUUCCUACAGCAACGGAGUUAUGUAGCAUAGCUAAUGACAUUGCAGUAAUUAAGAAAACCCACAGAACAGAUAAAAACUCAUCCUGUGUGAAUAAUUUCCAGCAACUGUUCUGAGCAGCAACCGUAGCUGGCUUGGAUUCCUCUGUGUCAGUAGCAACUGCACAGUAGAAAUAUUUAGACCUCUAUUUAUUCUGUAUUACAACCAUUCAUAUUAUGGAGAGUCAGUAGCUUCUUCAUAAUCACUAUUCUAUUCUGUGAGGCAAGUAGGUAUUAACAUCACUGUGUUAAUAGGGGGAAAGAUAUUUAUUUUGUGGUAGUACCUGAACACACCAGUCAGUAAUCACGGUCCCCAUUGUAUUAGGUGCUGUACACACAUGUAAUAAAAAUGUUAGUCCCUGUCCCAAAAAGCUUACAGUGUUAGUAUUUGAUGAGAACCCACAAGUAGAGAACAAAGGAAGUGGAGAGGCAGAGUGUUGACAGAUGAAACAUCAUGUUAGUAUAAUAAGCAACAAUCACCAUGCCAACUGCCUAGCCAUUAAUGAGAAUCUUGUAGGGGUGGCAGUCAGCUUCCAAUGUCUACCUUUAGCUCAGAAUGGCUUGUUACUACCCCUUCAAACUUUUCAUAUAGUUAAAUCUCCUUGAAAACAUAAGGCCUGACCCAAUGUUUAUUGAAGUCAAUGAAAAUCUUCCCGUUGGCUUCAAUGGAACUUUGGAUCUUUCCAUUGACUCCAGUGAGCUUUGGACUGGGUCUAGAAUGACUAUAUUUAAAGAAAAUAGGUAGAAGUUAAGCUAAGCAUUAACGAGUUUUUGUUGUGGCUCUUUUUGAGCUUAAUCGCGUUUCCACUUAUUUCAAUGGGAGUUCAUUCAUUAAGGCACAGGUGGGUGGAAGAGGGGUGAGUAUGUUGCCUUCUGUUGGCUGGUUGCAGCUUACAAAGAAAAUAAGGGUCCUUUUGUAGCUAACACUGUUCUUCCUUUAGCUAAAGUAUGGUAGAAACCUAAGCUGUUGGGCGCUGUAGGUCUAGCAUUCUUGUCUCUGCAUUCCAGUUAUUACGGAGAGGUGGCAGUCUGUCCUUAGUUGAUAUUGAAGCCAUGGUCCUGGUUUAGGGGUGAUUUUGAUCUUCUGAUAAUGUCAAACAAAAUAAAAGGGGAGCAGGGAUAAAAAAAAGAGAACCUCAUGCUUCCAUAUACUUUAUUUUAGGGGAAUAUCAUUGGUAAUUAGAAUGUGUUCUCAAAAGUUUGAAUAAAUUGAGCACAAACUUUUUUAGAUUAAAAGACUAUAACAUGGCUUCCUUUUUUUUUUUUUUUAAGUGUGGCUAAUAUUUAUGUCCCUGUAUUUGUUCAAUAAAAUUACACUACACCAUAGAAUCUGAGGCAUAGUUUGAUUUUGACAUUGCCUUGUGUAUAAGAGAGUUUAAGGACAGGAAUAGUAAAAUAUUUAGGAUAUUGCCACCAGAUUCCUGCUCAGUGAAGCUGAGAGAGAACAAAAUUUUAAUGUGUCUUUUUUGAGACCCUAUCUGAAAUGCUGAAAUCAAGAUAACACAAAUAGUAUAUUGAAAAAAAUGUCCGUGGGCCAGAAUUAUGGUGGCUGUAUGGUGAUAAAAUACAUAUCUUUUGUACUUGAUAGAAUCUGCCCCAUUAUGCUUUUCUUUCCAUUAAAAGCCUCAGUUGUUACACAAAGAGUCUGGGUGAGGUGACAUGAUGCUAGUUAGUGUUGUAUAUUAUUUGAUAGGUGAAUAAAGGGAUGUCACUUAGCAAGCCUGUUAUUUUUAAUGAAGGGGUUUGGUUUUCAAAUUCAAAGGGCCUACACAUUGGAUAUAAGCAAAUACUGAAAAACUACCCUACGUGACAGCAGGUGAUGGUAGAUUAUUCAAAUUAUUUUAUUGUGGUUUUAUUUUAGUUUUUUUUAAGUGAUAUCCUCUUGCUCAUAUCUCUUCUUAGCUGUGUGAGGUAGGAAGAAGACCAUUAGCUUUGGUAAUUUCCCGCAUAUACUGUUUUUUUUACCCUGCUGGCAGCCUCCUGAAGGAAAUGACAGGCCCCCUAUCUGGGUUGUUAAGCUCUUUAAGCUUGCUGCGUCCAUGUAACAUGUUUCUGAUUACCUCAGCCACGUAGACGUUUGAGCUUGCAGCUGCUGCAGUGCUGCCAGAGCCAAUCCACCCACAAAGCACAGCAAACCUUUUGUUUAGGUUCCGAAAUUGGAUUACUUUUUUCUAGAGGGCAAUCUGUAGAGUGAAAUCUUCCCACAUGAAGUAGUUCCUCCAGGAGCUUCACUGAAAGCUAUGCAUUUAUCAUUAAAUUCAACAAAGCAGUAAGAAGCCCUCAUAUCUAAGAGACGAAAAGGGGCUUCCCUGUUUCAAAUCAGAGCCAUUUCUCUUCCCUCCUUCCUCCCCUCCCCCACCCUACCCAGAAUCCACAUGUGCAAAGGCACAACAUGUGUUUCUCUUUAGGUUUGCAUUACUGACUUCUAUACACAAUAAAAUAAUGUUUACAAUACCCUAAUCUUUAAGAGAUGACCCAGUUUGGGGCCUAAAAACGUCAAACAACAAUUAUCCAGCGCAUCUCCCCGGCAAUGUAUUCAGUCCAACAGAUCCUGAUGAUAACCUUGGGAGAUACCCUGUGUACUGGAAAUAAUUCAGACGCAAAUAAGUCAAUUUAUUGAUGAAGGCUGAAGCCUGACUGGGUCAGCAGGUGACAUGCUAAGUUUUUUGUAAAUGGCUGAUGCUGCUCAAUUUGUUUUCCCUCUGAUAUAGACAGGCUAGUUUUCUUUUUCUCUGCAAGAAUGCUGAGCAGCUAGUUUUAGCGUUGCUCUGCAGGACUCAUUAGCUCAGCACCCAAGUUAGCGUAAGGGUAUGACGCAGGGAAGGGACCACUCAUAGGGUCUUGUGAAGAGGAGGGUAAAACCACUCUCCCCAAAAUGAGCCGCCCCAACACUUUAACAUGAAUGGAUGGGUUAGUGGGUGAUCCAUGUACAUAUGCUAAUGAGUCUCACUGGCAGCAUGCAGCUUAUUCCACAAGGAUCAGGGAAAUAUGAAUCAACAGGGAAUUGAGGGCUAGAUCCACAUAGGGACUUAACUGUUGUGAUCCUGAGCGUCAUAAUGCCUAACUUUUAGGCAUCUAGAAAAUCAUACAAACAACAAUGAGAUCCUCAAAGACUGAGUUAGAUGCCUAGGCUCCCUAUAAAAUGAAUGGGGAGAGAUAAGCGCCUAAGAAUAGGAUCCACAGAAGCCAGCAUGCUAGAUGGGGAGCUGCCUAAGCUAAAGGGAGAUGCCAAAGAGAGGGGUAUAUGAUAAAUACCACUUCUCUCAUGCAGUUCAGUGCCUAAGUCUAGGCUGUAGGGAGGUUCCGAUCUGUGCUUGCAAUCCACAGCUGGAAGUCCCUCUCCUGGAGUCAGGCAGCUUAGGUGCCGAAGCUGUUUCUUGUGAGAAUGAAUUAGGUGUUGGCCUUGGGUCCACACAAAACAAGGAGGAGGUACUGGUGUUACCUAGGCUAUGACUUUUAGCACAGUGGUUAGACACUCACCCAGAAAGUGGGAGCCCCAAGUUCAAUUCCCCCCUCUGCCUGAUGGGGUAAAGGAUUUGAACAGAUGUGUCCCAUCUCUGAGGAGAGUGCUCCACUGGACCCUGGGAUAGUCUGAUGCAGAUCUCCUUCAGUCUCUCCUGCUAAAGCUGUUCCUCCUCACAAAAGGCCUGAUUAUAAUGAGGAUGUGUUACAGGGGGCAUGGUCACAGUAUCAGUGAGGGUACCAAGCUCCAUACAACUGAUUGCACUUGGCAUUUGAAAUAAGAAGUGGCACAACAAAAGGAAAGGACAGAGGAGAAGUGAAGAUGCAGUGAGUAGGCAAUGUAUUGCUGAACAGGAGAUAGGAGUUUGAUUAGGGACUCUCUGAAACAGGUCUGAAUAAUCUAUUGGUGCAAUGGGGCUGCAAUGACUUACGCACAGAGAAGUCUGUUACAGUUUCAGGGUUAACUGCACCUUUGACCACUUAAACAUCCACUUAAAGUCUCAAGCUUCUUAGCUGUCACUUCCUUUGGCAGAGACCCGUGUCUCUCCUUCCACACCAGGGGUUAAUUUUGCAGUCCCUCUGCAUCUCAUUGUGAUUUCCCCAGCAUAUCUGGCCAGGGUCCAGCACCUGUAGUUUUCUCUUUCUCAAGGGCAGGGAGACGUACAACAGUGUGUCUCGGUUACCAACUUCACAAAGCAAAGUACGUUUUUGAUUGGGGAAAAGCAUCACAGAGAAAACAUAAUAAAACAAUCAAUCAAAGGUUCUACACACAUACUAAGUGUACCAGAAAUCAUCUAUCAGUCCUAUGGGGCCCUGGUAGGCCAAAGUCCUUCCAAUGCUUCAGCAAAUUUGGGGCCCUCUUAGGUCCAAAGGUCCUGUCCAUUUGCUGAAUCAAAAGGAAAACACUGAGUCUGUUUAAGCUCAGCCUUUAUAUCCCAAUUUUUUUCUGUGUCUCUUGCCUCUCCUGGGGGAUUGCCCUACACCAGUAUAUACAAACCAACUCAGUGGAUGAUGUGUCUCUGGAGCAGUUUACAAUUUCAGGGACUGGAAUAAUCCCCCCUUGCUGUUUUUCGUUCCUGAAGGAGCUGUGGUAACAAUCCCUGGCCCACAAUGAUAUAUAAAACAUUCAUAAACUUAAGAUAAUAUUGUCCCCAAAGAAACUUCACCUGGCUGCAAUAGCUAUCACAAAGUCUCAGCCAUAAAAAUUUUAAAAGGAGCAAAAAGUUUGGGACUCUCACCCGUCUAUAGGUAAUAAAUACAGAUAAUAACAAACAAAACAGAUCUUGGAGUUGGCCCUUCAGGCGUAUUUUCUACUACCAGUCCAUGGACAAUCACUGAAGCCCAAAUAAUUUGACUGUGUCCUUUUAAGUGUCUAAAACUUCAAGGAGGCAGCACUACCUAAGGCCCUGGAUUCUGCAAGGGGAUAGAUGGCCUCAGACUCUCUAUACAGGGAAGUAAUAGCUCUACUUUUUUUUUUCCAUUUCAGCCUCUGAUGAUUUGCAAUAAACCAGCCGCAAUAAUGCUUUUCAACUUUUACGUAUUUUCAAAGAUAAAAACUUCAACCCCCUUUUUAAGGCCCUUGUUUCAGUUUCUGCUUUGUCAUUGCAGUGAUGCAUCCCAUCUGGUUAUAUUGCAUUGCAUGAAUGUACAUAACAUACAGCGGAGUUAACAUUCAAGAUGGGACACAUCAUAGUUUGUUCCCAAAUCACGCUGCCAAGGGCCUUAACCUUUCAGUCCACAUUUACAAACAAACUUUAAAAAAAAAAAAAAAAAGUUGCAAUGUGGAGACAAUCCCAGCCAAAGCCUGUGGAAAACACAGUGAUUAGAAGAAAAGAUCUGGUUGCUGAAAAAGCAGUGCAAACUUUUAAGACCAAAUUUUCAGAACUGGUCACUAAGUUGUAUGCACAAAACAUGUAUUUUGCAGUUUCCUAGUGGUUCAUUCACAAGUACAUAUGCAAUUGCCAGGUUUGCAUGUACAACUUAGGGCACAAACAAAACAAAAAACCAAACAAACCUCAAUGACUUAAGCACACAAGUUUACAAAUCUAUGGUCUACAGCCCACCAUUGCCUGAUAGACACAGGCUAAUCUCUAAGUGACCAAAAUUGCAAGACUGGCUUUUGAAUUUCUAAUCUGGAACGUUCCUAAAAUAUUUUCUUGUGGCAUUUACACUCAGAUGGAAGCGGAAUCUUUCAUAGCUUUCAUUCUUUCUACAUACACAAUAAGCUUCCAGCUAUGCUAGUACUCUAACAGAAUCAUUUUUUUUUCUGUAAGUGUGAGCCGAAAACUAAUCUAGGAACACUGCACCAGUUACACUUAACAAUAAGGACACUUUCCUGCACUGCUCACUGUAUGUGCAUUCACUGUUGGCAUAUACCACAAGAACUUUUGUUUGAAAUGCUUCCACGAUUCUUCCACAUUGUUCCCAAACCUCAGUUCAGAUGAUGGUUUCAGGCUGUCCAUCCUUGCUGGUUGUGUACAUGCUGUUCAGCUGGUAUUUAACAACGAAAUUAUUUUUAUUUCAACGUUACAUACAAUGCGAGUCUUCUGCAAGCUUCAGCCAGCCACUGUUCUGCCGCCUGUAGUCAAGGAUUCUCUGUCUUCCAAAAUGGAGAAUGACCUUUGGUCUCUGCAGCCACACCUAUAGCCUAAUACCUAGAGCUGGUCAGAGAAUUAAGAUAUUAAAAAAAAAUCUGAAUUGGAACAAAAAGUUGAAAUUUCCUGUGAAAUAAAAAUUCGGACAACCUUUGAUUCAGAACCAUCAAAUAAUGUGUCAUUUCAAUAAGGCAGAAGCAUGUUAUUUGAAAACCAUCCCAUCAAAAAUGUUACAACCGGCUCUGCUAACAAGGACAACUACUCACAUAGAUGUGGAGCAAGUAGCUGUAUGGGGAAAAAGGUGGCCAGACUCUGGCAGAGGCUCAUUUGACACGAGACAAAUGUUGGUUCCUUAUUCGAAGUAUUCUACUGAAAUCUUUCUCUGGGGUAAAGGACUAGGGAGUGGGACAGUUAACCUCUUCACAACAGAAGAAAGAGAGACCAAAUCUAGAACUACUUACCUAUUUCUUGCCAUCUGGACUUUAGUGAUUUAGUUAAAUUAGGAGCUGGAUUUGUAAAACCAAAACCUUGACUGAUGAGGUUUUGCAAAUUUUAAAACCAGUCUCAAUACGCACACUUUGCGGGGAAACAGAGACUGGAUAAAACAGGAACUAUUUAUUCAACACCUACCACCUUGAGAUGUGAAGGUUUAGAUAAUAUGGGACUUGGAUGUGAGCCACCAGGGGUUUUGCGAAAUCAAAACUUGACCAACAGUGUUUUGUGAAUCCAUCUCCAGUUUUGCACAUCUCAAUUUGCUAAUUAUGCAUUUGUAUCAAUAUAUUUCAUUGGACUUCCUGGAAGUUCCUUUCUACGCAAAAGCCCUAUCUAUUGGGAACAGUGUAGUCAUUGCUCUCAGAUAACAUGACCAUAGCGUCUCUGAUGGGACUGCC